rnacentral:rRNA from 1 species
UACGUAGGGAGCAAGCGUUGUCCGGAAUUAUUGGGCGUAAAGAGCUCGUAGGCGGUCUGUCGCGUCGGAUGUGAAAAUCCAGGGCUCAACCCUGGACCUGCAUUCGAUACGGGCAGGCUAGAGUUCGGUAGGGGAGACUGGAAUUCCUGGUGUAGCGGUGAAAUGCGCAGAUAUCAGGAGGAACACCGGUGGCGAAGGCGGCAUCCUGGACCGGUAUUGACGCUGAGGCGCGAAAGCCCGGGGAGCAAACAGG